GUAAGGAAUAUUGCUCAAUGGGAGAAAUCCUGAAGCAGCAACGCCGCGUGGAGGAUGAAGGGUCUAUGACUUGUAAACUCCUGUAAAGAAGGAAAAAAUUCCCAUUUGAUGGGAGAUGAUGGUACUUCUGGAGUAAGCCCCGGCUAACUACGUGCCAGCAGCCGCGGUAAUACGUAGGGGGCAAGCGUUGUCCGGAUUUACUGGGUGGAAAGGGUGCUCAGGCGGAUUUGUAAGUCAGAGGUGAAAUCUUACAGCUUAACUGUGAAACUGCCUUUGAUACUGCAAGCCUAGAGUAUGGAAGAGAGUGAUGGAAUAUCUGGUGUAGCAGUGAAAUGCGUAGAUAUCAGAUAGAACACCAAUGGCGAAGGCAGUCACUUGGUCCAUUACUGACGCUAAAGCACGAAAGCGUGGGUAGCAAACA
rnacentral:rRNA from 1 species